AUGAGGUCACUGAGGCCCAGACAAGUGAAGUGCCUUGCCCAGUCACGUGGCAGAGGGCACCAUGGGGGUGCCAGAGGGCGCAUGGGGUGGGGGGUCCGCGGCAUGAGGAGGGGGCGAUUAGGGGGCGGCGGGGGGGGGGGGGAGGCCUGGACCCUCCCCCGGGAUCCCUCCGGACAACCCCGGACUCGGUCCCCGGGACUUACCGGCGGCGAGGAGAGGAGGAGGAAGAAGAGGAGGAGGAAGAAGAGGAGGAGGAGGAGGAGGAGGAGGAGGAGGAGGAGGAGGAGGAGGAGGAGGAGGAGGAGGGAGGAGGAGGAGGGAAGAGGAGGGGCCCCUCCCCCCCCCCCCACCCGGGAAGACCGGGCUGCCCAACCUCCCAGCAUGCACCGCUCCGCCCCGCCACUAACCCUUUGCUCGCUGCAUCUCCUCCCUCCUCCUCCACCUUCUCCUCCUCCCUCCUCCUCCACCUUCUCCUCCUCCCUCCUCCUCCUCCCUUCUCCUUCCUCCUCCUCCCUCUCCUCCUCCUUUUCCUCCUCCCUCCUCCUCCUCCCUCUCCUCCUCCUCCCUCCUCCUUCUCCUCCCUCUCCUCCUCCCUCUCCUUCCUUUCUCCUCCUCCCUCCUCUUUCUCCUCCUCCCUCCUCCUCCUCCCUCUCCUCCUCCUCCUCCUCCCUCUCCUUCUCCUCCUUUUCCUUCUCCCUCCUCCUCCUCCCUCCUCCUUCUCCUCCCUCCUCCUUCUCCUCCCUCCUCCUCCUCCUCCCUCCUCCUUCUCCUCCCCCCUCCUUCCUUCCUCCUCCUCCCUCCUCCUCCUCUUUUUCCUCCUCCCUCCUCCUCCUCCUCCUCCUCCUCCCCUUCCCUCCCUCGUGCCGGUCCCCCCCAGGCCUCCCCUCCCCUCACCCCCCACAGGCCUGGGAGUCAAGGACCUGGGUUCUAAUAAUAAUGUCGGUAUUUGUUAGGCGCUUACUAUGUGCCGAUCUAAGCGCUGGGGGAGAUACAGGGUCUUUGGGUUGUCCCCCGUGA
rnacentral:lncRNA from 1 species